ensembl:snRNA U6 U6 spliceosomal RNA
UUGUUUUGGCAGCGCAUAUACUAAAACUGGAAGGGUACGGAGAAGAUUAGCAUAGCCCCUGCACAAGGAUGACACGCAUGAAGUGUUCCAUAUUUUA